rnacentral:ncRNA from 1 species
GGUACUUGCACACGUUGCGGAGCAACGAUGGUAAAAGA